AGAGUUUGAUCCUGGCUCAGGAUGAACGCUGGCGGCGUGCCUAAUACAUGCAAGUCGAACGCACAGCGAAAGGUGCUUGCACCUUUCAAGUGAGUGGCGAACGGGUGAGUAACACGUGGAUAACCUACCUCAAGGUUGGGGAUAACAUUUGGAAACAGAUGCUAAUACCGAAUAAAACUUCGUAUCGCAUGAUACAAGGUUAAAAGGCGCUACGGCGUCACCUAGAGAUGGAUCCGCGGUGCAUUAGUUAGUUGGUGGGGUAAAGGCCUACCAAGACAAUGGUGCAUAGCCGAGUUGAGAGACUGAUCGGCCACAUUGGGACUGAGACACGGCCCAAACUCCUACGGGAGGCUGCAGUAGGGAAUCUUCCACAAUGGGCGAAAGCCUGAUGGAGCAACGCCGCGUGUGUGAUGAAGGCUUUCGGGUCGUAAAGCACUGUUGUAUGGGAAGAACAGCUAGAGUAGGGAAUGACUUUAGUUUGACGGUACCAUACCAGAAAGGGACGGCUAAAUACGUGCCAGCAGCCGCGGUAAUACGUAUGUCCCGAGCGUUAUCCGGAUUUAUUGGGCGUAAAGCGAGCGCAGACGGUUGAUUAAGUCUGAUGUGAAAGCCCGGAGCUCAACUCCGGAAAGGCAUUGGAAACUGGUCAACUUGAGUGCAGUAGAGGUAAGUGGAACUCCAUGUGUAGCGGUGGAAUGCGUAGAUAUAUGGAAGAACACCAGCGGCGAAGGCGGCUUACUGGACUGUAACUGACGUUGAGGCUCGAAAGUGUGGGUAGCAAACAGGAUUAGAUACCCUGGUAGUCCACACCGUAAACGAUGA
rnacentral:rRNA from 1 species